rnacentral:rRNA from 1 species
AUUGAACGCUGGCGGCAUGCCUUACACAUGCAAGUCGAACGGCAGCACGGGAGCAAUCCUGGUGGCGAGUGGCGAACGGGUGAGUAAUAUAUCGGAACGUGCCCAGUAGUGGGGGAUAACUGCUCGAAAGAGCAGCUAAUACCGCAUACGACCUGAGGGUGAAAGGGGGGGAUCGCAAGACCUCUCGCUAUUGGAGCGGCCGAUAUCAGAUUAGCUAGUUGGUGGGGUAAAGGCCUACCAAGGCAACGAUCUGUAGUUGGUCUGAGAGGACGACCAGCCACACUGGGACUGAGACACGGCCCAGAUGCCUAAGGGAGGCAGCAGUGGGGAAUUUUGGACAAUGGGCGCAAGCCUGAUCCAGCAAUGCCGCGUGCAGGAAGAAGGCCUUCGGGUUGUAAACUGCUUCUGUCAGGGAAGAAAUCCUCUAGGUUAAUACCCUUGGGGGGAUGACGGUACCUGAAGAAUAAGCACCGGCUAACUACGUGCCAGCCGCCGCCGUAACAC